rnacentral:rRNA from 1 species
UUCUGAUCCCUCAGAUCAGACGAGACGACCCGCUGAACUUAAGCAUAUCAGUAAGCGGAGGAAAAGAAACUAACCGGAUUCCCCUAGUAGCGGCGAGCGAAGAGGGAAAAGCCCCGCGCCGAAUCCCGCCGCCCCAGUCGGGCGCGGGACAUGUGGCGUACGGAAGAGGUUUUCCCGGUGUCGGCGUGGGGGCCUGAGUCCUUCUGAUCGAGGCUCCCGUGGACGGUGUGAGGCCGGGGGGCCCCCGUCCGCCGGGGCGCAGUCUUCCCGGAGUCGGGUUGCUUGGGAAUGCAGCCCAAAGUGGGUGGUAAACUCCAUCUAGGCUGAAUCUGGCACGAGACCGAUGUCGACAGUACCGUAAGGGAAA